CAGCUGGCCAGCCCAGCUCUCCAGCCCUGGGUGGUGAUGAAGCAGGGCCCGUCUGCCCAGGGCAGGGCAUGACUGGGCUGGGAGGAUUCCCACUUGGAGCUGUGUCCCUCUGAGUGCAGACCUCUGCCUUUCCCGUUCAGCAGGGUAGGGCUGGGGCAGUGUGUCCAAGGUCAGAGCAGAACACUUUGCAGGAUGACAGGUACCACAGUGGGACACAGCCUGUGGGCAGGACGGCAUGGGACCUGCGCCCCAGCAGGUGGCCACACCAGUGCCCAGCCUCACCCUGUAGUUAGCUGGCGGGAAUCUAGUCGGCGGGGGGGCCCAAGUGCCCUGAGAGCCCCUCCUGCCAGUUUAUUUAUAUUAUAUUAUAUUAUAUUUUAUUUCAUUUUUGAGAUGGAGUUUCACUCUUGUUCCCCAGGCUAGAGUGCAAUGGCACGAUCUUGGCUCACUGCAACCUCUGCUUCCUGGGUUCAAGCUAUUCUCCUGCCUCAGCCUCCCGAGUAGCUGGGAUUACAGGCAUGCGCUACCACACCCAGCUAAUUUUGUAUUUUUAGUAGAGACAGGGUUUCUCCAUGGUGGUCAAACUAGUCUCGAACUCCCGACCUCAGGUGAUUGACCCGCCUCAGCCUCCCAGAGUGCUGGGAUUACAGGCAUGA
rnacentral:lncRNA from 10 species